GCCGGGGUGGCGGAAUUGGUAGACGCACUAGCUUGAGGGGCUAGCGCUCGUAAGGGUGUAGGAGUUCGAAUCUCCUCCCCGGCA
rnacentral:tRNA from 1 species